rnacentral:misc_RNA from 1 species
GAUUAAUGAGGAUCAAAUACAGAUACUUAUCAAUCUCAAUGGUUAUACCAAGGGGGCAAGAAACGAGAUAUUCGCCAUGCAGCCAGCUCCAAUCCAGGUUUCAUACAUGGGUUUCCCUGGAACCACAGGAGCAACAUACAUAGAUUAUUUGGUUACAGAUGAGUUCGUUUCACCUAUGAAGUAUGCACAUAUUUACUCAGAGAAGCUUG